UUGCAUGUAGUAGAAAAUAAUACGUCGGAUUUAGGCUCCGAAAGAAGGUAGUUGCCUCGUGCAAU
rnacentral:tRNA from 1 species